rnacentral:rRNA from 1 species
UAGGGAAUCUUCCACAAUGGGCGAAGACCUGAUGGAGCAACGCCGCGUGUGUGAUGAAGGGUUUCGGCUCGUAAAACACUGUUGUAAGAGAAGAAUGACAUUGAGAGUAACUGUUCAAUGUGUGACGGUAUCUUACCAGAAAGGAACGGCUAAAUACGUGCCAC